rnacentral:snoRNA from 1 species
AAGAAACAAAGGUUUCGUCUGAAGACAUGUUGUCUGCAAUCUUCCUAAAAUAAAUUUGGCCUUUCCUACUUGUGGUGUUGAUAGGAUGUUCUGCAAGCCUCAAAUGACAAGACAACCAC